rnacentral:lncRNA from 1 species
UAACCUGUAGACUGGACAGAGGUAUCACUCGAGUCGCAACUAAAUUGAAUAUAACGUCGCGGAUAAGGUUUGUAAUGACACAAUUUCAUGUGUACAACAUCUAAAGACCUGCAUCCUUAUACUGAGUGUUUCCGUUUCUAAAAUGACGUAUUUGGGUGUUUUUGGAGCAUUUGUUCAUGUCUUUUCAGAGCCUCUGUUUAUAAGGAAAUGAAUCGCUGGUUAGGGUAAGUUCUUGAAAAACAAGUGAAAGCAACAACAACAAAAAGUGUCUGGACCCCUCAUUCACUCAAUUGUUUCCACAGCACUUGAGUGGAGACAGAUGAUGAACCUCUGUUGUAAGAGAUUACUUAAGUGCUGCUAUGCAUACGUGAAUAACUAUGACGUUCAGGAUGUUUCAUAGAUAUGUUCUCUCAUCCCUCACACAGGCCUCCUCUGUGUGACCAUUGGCAGAUGGGAGUAAGAGAAUGAUGACCGUGUCCCCUCCUGAUGGAUCGAGCCUGUCCCUGUGGAGACUGUGGGGGCAAUGAGGCGCGGGGACAAGGAACAGCUAAAUGAUUGAGCCAUCACUACGUGCAGUUGUCCCGUCUGGCUGGUCCAGCCAUAUGUUAGAGCUGGGUGGGCCAAGUCAGACUUUAGCUGAUAAAUGGGUGUGUGUUUUAAGCCAGGCAAGGUGAAGAGGGGUGAAGAAAACAAACCUGGCCGUGUCCUCCGAACGUUCCUCAGAAUAACAACAGGAACACUCUUGUCUGCAUUUUCCGGCCGUGAGUGGGGCCUUCAUGGAUUCCCCGUACAAUGGCAACACGUCCCUCCAGACCUCCACCUCCAACCUCAACGCCAACUUCUCCCGGCCGACAGAGGCGGAAGAGGAGGGCAAGUACUCCAGCGACGCCAUCUGGCUUUGGGUGGCCGUCAUUGCAACCAUCGGCAACAUAGUAGUGGUAGCAGUGGUUUGCGCCUGUGCCUUCUAAGACUCGUUAGUUACAAGCACACAGCCGAACCUCCCUCUUGCCACUUUUUCCCCCUCCACUUUGACCUAUCCCCUGUAUUCGUUUUCAUCUGGUAUGUGUCCAUCCGUAAUAUUAAAGCCAAGGCCAAGUUCUGA